rnacentral:rRNA from 1 species
AUGAGCACAAGCCAUGAGCUGAGCAUUGACAUUGCUCUUAGUCCAACCACCGGCAGGAAUAUUGCUGUAAAUCAGAGCGGCGGCGGCGAGAUCCACACGGGGUGGCUGCGCGAGCUCACAUCGGCGUCACGUAGCUCGGCCGUCCUGAACGAGCUCAUCGGCCGUACGCCGAUGCUGUGGUUCCUCGGCGAGCGCGCGGCCACCAUCCUCCGGCCGCGCACCCGGCGCGCCAACGUGAAGGCGCUACACACGGUGCGCGCUGUGGCCAUUGGCCCGUACCACCGCGGCGACCGAGGCCUCGCCUUUGACGACGAGGCCAAGCUGCCGUUCCUGCGGUGCCUGCAGGACCGGUGCGGGCUAGACGUCGAGCAGUACGUCGCGGCGCUCGGGGCGGCGCGCGGCAGCUUUCGCGACGAGUUCGCCGACGACGCGGAUUCGGUCGCCGCGGAUUGGCUCCUGGACGAGGAGAAGUUCGUGAAGAUGCUCCUCCUCGACAGCAGCUUCGUCCUCGUCUUCAGCAUCAUGUUCAGCAAGGCCGGCAGCGGGGAGGAACGGGCGGCGGUGCCCGUUACCAGGGAGCACUUCAUACUGUACACGGCCGUGUCGCAGUACGCCGACGAGAUCAUGCUCGACCUGCUCGUGCUGGAAAAUCAGAUCCCCUUCGCCGUCGUCAAGCUGCUCGCAGCCUCGUGCUGCGUUCUGAAGCUACGCUCAGUCGAGGAGCUGGUGCUUGGCUGCUUCGACGGCAUCUGUCCGAGGAGGGCGCGCGGGAAGGUCAUCGACUUGCCGCUCCAGCAAACCUCUUCCACUGGUCGCGCGUGCCGGAGAACAAGUACCGCGGAGCUGCAGCUGUCGGCAGUGUGGUUCAGGAAGGCCAAGCUGGACGCGAGGGAGAGGCACGGCGGCGACCUCGACAUGCAGUUCUGGAGCACGGCGGCGAGCCCGGUGGCGGUGAUGACCAUCCCGAGCUUCCACAUCCUCGCCUACACCGCGGCGUUGCUCCACAACAUGGUGGCUUUCGAGAAGCACUUCCAACGGGCGCACGGCGUCUGCGUGACGGCGCACGUGGCGCGCAUGGAGGGCCUCAUACGGUGCCCGCAGGACGCGGCGCUGCUUCGCCGCCGGUGGGCACUCGGUAGCGUAAAGUACACCGACGAGGAGGUGGUGGAUUUCUUCCGUGGCAUCGUCGCGGAGGCGGCCGGGGUGCGCAUGCCUCAAGAGUACGGCGAGAUGCUCAGCGCGGUGGCGCGGCACAGGAGGAGGCGGUCAAGCAGGUGGUACGGAGACUUCAUACUGCACUUCUUCCCUUCUCCAUGGGUGGCCGUCUCGCUCGCCGUAGUGGCUGCGCUGAUCAUUGUGCCGGCGAUGCUGCAGACGGCCUACGCCAUUCUGAGUUACCAAAAGUAG